rnacentral:rRNA from 1 species
CAGCAGCCGCGGGAAUACGGAGGGGGCUAGCGUUGUUCGGAAUUACUGGGCGUAAAGCGCACGUAGGCGGCUAUGUAAGUUAGAGGUGAAAGCCUGGAGCUCAACUCCAGAAUUGCCUUUAAGACUGCGUGGCAGCAGGUGAGAGAGGUGAGUGGAAUUCCGAGUGUAGAGGUGAAAUUCGUAGAUAUUCGGAAGAACACCAGUGGCGAAGGCGGCUCACUGGCUCAUACUGGACGCUGAGGUGCGAAAGCGUGGGGAGCAAACAGGAUUAGAUACCCCCGUAGUCCCUGUCUCUUAUACA